rnacentral:rRNA from 1 species
UACGUAGGGUGCAGGCGUUAAUCGGAAUUACUGGCGUAAAGCGUGCGCAGGCGGUUUGCUAAGACAGGUGUGAAAUCCCCGGGCUUAACCUGGGAACUGCGCUUGUUACUGGCAAGCUGGAGUGUGGCAGAGGGGGGUGGAAUUCCACGUGUAGCAGUGAAAUGCGUAGAGAUGUGGAGGAACACCGAUGGCGAAGGCAGCCCCCUGGGUCAAGACUGACGCUCAUGCACGAAAGCGUGGGGAGCAAACAGG